rnacentral:rRNA from 1 species
UACGAAGGGGGCUAGCGUUGCUCGGAAUCACUGGGCGUAAAGGGUGCGUAGGCGGGUCUUUAAGUCAGGGGUGAAAUCCUGGAGCUCAACUCCAGAACUGCCUUUGAUACUGAAGAUCUUGAGUUCGGGAGAGGUGAGUGGAACUGCGAGUGUAGAGGUGAAAUUCGUAGAUAUUCGCAAGAACACCGGUGGCGAAGGCGGUUAGCUGGGCAGUUGCUGGACACUGAGGCGCGACAGCGUGGGAG